rnacentral:rRNA from 1 species
AAAUACUACCCAGUGACCGAUAGCGUAUAGUACUGUGAAGGAAAGGUGAAAAGCACCCCGGGAGGGGAGUGAAAAAGAACCUGAAACCCUGUGCCUACAAGCACCUAGAGCACGUCAAUGUGUGAUAGGGUACUUUUUGUAGAACGGUCCGGCGAGCGAUUGUAUGCAGCAAGGUUAAGGACUUAAGGUCUGGAGCCGAAGCGAAAGCGAGUUUGAAAAGGGCGUUAAGUUGCAUAUAAUGGGCCCGAAACCGGGUGACCUACCCAUGGUCAGGUUGAAGUGGAAGUAAAAUUCCAUGGAGGACCGAACCGACCUCCGUUGAAAAGGCGGCGGAUGAACUGUGGGUAGCGGAGAAAUUCCAAUCGAACCCGGAGAUAGCUGGUUCUCCCCGAAAUAGUUUUAGGACUAGCCUCAAGUUAGAUACCUGGAGGUAAAGCACUGAAUAGCCUAGCGGCCGAGAGGUUAGCGAAGCUUAUCAAACUCAGAAUGCCAGAGUAUUGAUGCUUGGGAGUCAGACAGUGUCAGAUAAAUGUCAUUGUCAAAAGGGAAACAGCCCAGAUCUACAGCUAAGGUCCCAAAGUCAGGUUAAGUGGAAAACGAUGUGAAGAUACGCAGACAACCAGGAUGUUGGCUCAGAAGCAGCCACUCAUUCAAAGAGUGCGUAAUAGCUCACUGGUCGAGCGUCUUUGCGCGGAGAAUUUAACGGGGCUAAACCUGACACCGAAGCUUAGGCAAUGUAGUAAUACAUUGGGUAGGGGAGCGUUGUAUACGCGGAGAAACAGUAGCGUAAGCGGCUGUGGAGUGUAUAGAAGUGAGAAUGCCGGAAUGAGUAGCGCGAAUGCAGUGAGAAUCUGCAUGGCCGAAAGCCUCAGGUUUUUGGAGGAAGGUUCGUCCGCUCCAAGUUAGUCGGGAGCUAAGGUGAGGCCGGAAGGCGUAGCCGAUGCACAGACGGUAGAGAUUCCGUCACCACCAAAAGAGUUAAGCACAGGGACACAUAUGAAGUCUCAGAGCCGGGUGUUGGUUCCGGUAGAGAUCGAGGGAAAUUAGUACCGAAGUCUGAGAUGGAAGAUGGCGAGAAAAGCUGUGUGUAUUUCUGAGGUGCCCGUACCGCAAACCGACACAGGUAGGUAGGAAGAAGAUUCUAAGGCCAACGGGAGAAGGGUUGUUAAGGAACUCGGCAAAUUGACCCCGUAACUUCGGGAGAAGGGGUGCUCCAGAGAUGGAGCCGCAGAGAAUCGGCCCAAGCAACUGUUUACCAAAAACACAGGUUUGUGCUAAAUCGAAAGAUGACGUAUACGAGCUGACGCCUGCCCGGUGCUGGAAGGUUAAGAGGAGAUGUGCAAGCAUUGAAUCGAAGCCCCAGUGAACGGCGGCCGUAACUAUAACGGUCCUAAGGUAGCGAAAUUCCUUGUCAGGUAAGUUCUGACCCGCACGAAAGGCGUAAUGAUUUGGGCACUGUCUCAACAGCCCGCCCGGCGAAAUUGUAGUACCGGUGAAGAUGCCGGUUACCCGCGACAAGACGGAAAGACCCCAUGGAGCUUUACUGUAGCCUAAUAUUGGGUUUCGAUGUUGCAUGCACAGGAUAGAUGGGACUCUGGGAAACCAAGGCUUUGGCUUUGGCGGAGAGGCCGUUGGGAUACCAUCCUUGCGAUAUUGGAAUUCUAACCUGCGGCUCUGAAUCGAGUCGGGGGACAUUGUUAGGUGGGCAGUUUGACUGGGGCGGUCGCCUCCUAAAGAGUAACGGAGGCGUUCAAAGGUUCGCUCAGCUUGAACGGAAAUCAAGCAAAAGAGUGCAAACGCAGAAGCGAGCCUAACUGCGAGACUGACGGGUCGAGCAGUAACGAAAGUUGGAGUUAGUGAUCCGGUGGUAUGUGAGUGGAAAUGCCAUCGCUCAACGGAUAAAAGUUACCCUGGGGAUAACAGGCUGAUCUCCCCCAAGAGUCCACAUCGACGGGGAGGUUUGGCACCUCGAUGUCGGCUCAUCGCAUCCUGGGGCUGUAUUCGGUCCCAAGGGUUUGGCUGUUCGCCAAUUAAAGCGGUACGCGAGCUGGGUU